rnacentral:rRNA from 1 species
GAAGGCCUUCGGAUCGUAAACUUCUGUCAUUUGAGAACAAGUGUCGAAGCAAUAACUGGCUUCGAUUUGAUAGUACCAAAAGAGGAAGAGACGGCUAACUCUGUGCCAGCAGCCGCGGUAAUACAGGGGUCUCAAGCGUUGUUCGGAUUCAUUGGGCGUAAAGGGUGCGUAGGCGGUGCCGUAAGUCGGAUGUGAAAUCCCGAAGCUCAACUUCGGAACUGCAUUCGAUACUGCGGUGCUGGAGGACUGGAGAGGAGAUCGGAAUUCAUGGUGUAGCAGUGAAAUGCGUAGAUAUCAUGAGGAAGACCAGUGGCGAAGGCGGAUCUCUGGACAGUUCCUGACGCUGAGGCACGAAGGCUAGGGUAGCGAACGGGAUUAGAUACCCCGGUAGUCCUAGCAGUAAACGGUGCACGUUUGGUGUGGGAGGAUUCGACCCCUUCCGUGCCGGAGCUAACGCGUUAAAUGUGCCGCCUGGGGAGUACGAUCGCAAGAUUA